UCUGACCUCAAAUCAGGUAGGAUUACCCGCUGAACUUAAGCAUAUCAAUAAGCGGAGGAAAAGAAACUAACAAGGAUUCCCUUAGUAACUGCGAGUGAAGUGGGAAAAGCUCAAAUUUGAAAUCUGGCAGUCUGUUUUUUUCUUCCUUGGCUGUCCGAGUUGUAAUCUAGAGAAGUGUUACCUGUAUUGGACCGUGUACAAGUCUCCUGGAAUGGAGCCUCAUAGAGGGUGAGAAUCCCGUCUUUGACAUGGACUGCCAGUGCAUUGUGGUGUGCUCUCAAAGAGUCGAGUUGUUUGGGAAUGCAGCUCUAAAUGGGUGGUAAACUCCAUCUAAAGC
rnacentral:rRNA from 1 species